rnacentral:rRNA from 1 species
UACGUAGGGUGCGAGCGUUGUCCGGAAUUAUUGGGCGUAAAGGGCUCGUAGGCGGUCUGUUGCGUCGGGAGUGAAAACUCAGGGCUUAACCCUGAGCCUGCUUCCGAUACGGGCAGACUAGAGGUAUGCAGGGGAGAACGGAAUUCCUGGUGUAGCGGUGAAAUGCGCAGAUAUCAGGAGGAACGCCGGUGGCGAAGGCGGCACUCUGGGCUGGUACUGACGCUCAGGAGCGAAAGCGUGGGUAGCGAACAGG